rnacentral:lncRNA from 1 species
UGAGCCAAAGGAAAAACCAACGUUGUAAGGUUGUGGUUGGUGAGCCUUUGGGAAAAACCAACUGGGUUGAUUGUGAACCCGGAAAACAAUCAUUGUAAGGUUGUGGUUGGUGAGCCUUUGGAAAAACCAACUGGGUUGGAUUGUGAGCCCGUGAAAACAAUCGGUUGGUUCUAGUCGGUGAGCCUGUGAAAACCGACCGAGUUCGUUGUGAUCUCGCAAAAUAACAAGUUGGGUUGUGAGCUUGUAAAACAACCGGCUGUAAUCUGAAGGAUUAUAGUAAAAUUCCCAAGAGGUCUUGGGGAGUGGAUGUAGGUGCUGGGAUGCACCGAACCACUAUACUUUUGUUGUAUUUGUGAUGCUCUUUGUUAUCUAACUUCCUCACUCACUUACUUACUUAGAUACAUUGCUUGCUUAACUCUUCUCCGUGCAUCCUCUAGUUGCAAGCAUAUUCAAUUUACUUAAUCAAGUCUCAUUCAAUAUAACAGCAUUAAGACUCAUUGUAUUGAAUUGCAUACGGGUAAACUUAGACUAAUCUUUUAUUGAGUCCGCUGCUUAAUAGUUGAUUAGAUUAGAAUCAUACUCUUGCUAAGUUUAAAUUCCACUAUGCAUCCAUACAACUUAGCUUAAUUAACUCUAAAAGAUUAGAAGUAGUUGAAAAGUUUUUAAAAGACCCAAUUCACCCCC